UGAACGCUGGCGGCAUGCCUUACACAUGCAAGUCGAACGGCAGCACGGGUGCUUGCACCUGGUGGCGAGUGGCGAACGGGUGAGUAAUACAUCGGAACAUGUCCUGUAGUGGGGGAUAGCCCGGCGAAAGCCGGAUUAAUACCGCAUACGAUCUACGGAUGAAAGCGGGGGACCUUCGGGCCUCGCGCUAUAGGGUUGGCCGAUGGCUGAUUAGCUAGUUGGUGGGGUAAAGGCCUACCAAGGCGACGAUCAGUAGCUGGUCUGAGAGGACGACCAGCCACACUGGGACUGAGACACGGCCCAGACUCCUACGGGAGGCAGCAGUGGGGAAUUUUGGACAAUGGGCGAAAGCCUGAUCCAGCAAUGCCGCGUGUGUGAAGAAGGCCUUCGGGUUGUAAAGCACUUUUGUCCGGAAAGAAAUCCUUGGCUCUAAUACAGUCGGGGGAUGACGGUACCGGAAGAAUAAGCACCGGCUAACUACGUGCCAGCAGCCGCGGUAAUACGUAGGGUGCGAGCGUUAAUCGGAAUUACUGGGCGUAAAGCGUGCGCAGGCGGUUUGCUAAGACCGAUGUGAAAUCCCCGGGCUCAACCUGGGAACUGCAUUGGUGACUGGCAGGCUAGAGUAUGGCAGAGGGGGGUAGAAUUCCACGUGUAGCAGUGAAAUGCGUAGAGAUGUGGAGGAAUACCGCUGGCGAAGGCAGCCCCCUGGGCCAAUACUGACGCUCAUGCACGAAAGCGUGGGGAGCAAACAGGAUUAGAUACCCUGGUAGUCCACGCCCUAAACGAUGUCAACUAGUUGUUGGGGAUUCAUUUCCUUAGUAACGUAGCUAACGCGUGAAGUUGACCGCCUGGGGAGUACGGUCGCAAGAUUAAAACUCAAAGGAAUUGACGGGGACCCGCACAAGCGGUGGAUGAUGUGGAUUAAUUCGAUGCAACGCGAAAAACCUUACCUACCCUUGACAUGGUCGGAAUCCCGCUGAGAGGUGGGAGUGCUCGAAAGAGAACCGGCGCACAGGUGCUGCAUGGCUGUCGUCAGCUCGUGUCGUGAGAUGUUGGGUUAAGUCCCGCAACGAGCGCAACCCUUGUCCUUAGUUGCUACGCAAGAGCACUCUAAGGAGACUGCCGGUGACAAACCGGAGGAAGGUGGGGAUGACGUCAAGUCCUCAUGGCCCUUAUGGGUAGGGCUUCACACGUCAUACAAUGGUCGGAACAGAGGGUUGCCAACCCGCGAGGGGGAGCUAAUCCCAGAAAACCGAUCGUAGUCCGGAUUGCACUCUGCAACUCGAGUGCAUGAAGCUGGAAUCGCUAGUAAUCGCGGAUCACGCAUGCCGCGGUGAAUACGUUCCCGGGUCUUGUACACACCGCC
rnacentral:rRNA from 1 species